UACGGAGGGUGCGAGCGUUGUCCGGAAUCAUUGGGCGUAAAGGGCGCGUAGGUGGCGGGACAAGCGUGCGGUGAAAGCUCGGGGCUCAACCCCGAGUCGGCCGUGCGAACUGUUUUGCUUGAGCACUGUAGAGGCAGGCGGAAUUCCGGGUGUAGCGGUGGAAUGCGUAGAGAUCCGGAAGAACACCCGUGGCGAAGGCGGCUCUCUGGGACGGUACUGACGCUGAGACGCGAAAGCGUGGGGAGCGAACAGG
rnacentral:rRNA from 1 species